UACGGAAGGUCCUAGCGUUAUCCGGAUUUAUUGGGUUUAAAGGGAGCGCAGGCUGCCGGUCAAGCGUGCCGUGAAAUGUAGACGCUCAACGUCUGCACUGCGGCGCGAACUGUCCUGGCUUGAGUGUGCUGGACGCCGGCGGAAUUUGUGGUGUAGCGGUGAAAUGCUUAGAUAUCACGAGGAACUCCGAUUGCGAAGGCAGCUGGCGGUUGCAUUACUGACGCUCAUGCUCGAAGGUGCGGGUAUCGAA
rnacentral:rRNA from 1 species